rnacentral:rRNA from 1 species
AGUGUGAUAAGGGAAUCCUCAGUGCUCAUGCAAUGCAUGGGCUUUUGCUAAGCGUAAAUAGCUUGGCGAAUAAGUGGUGGGUAAGACUGGUGCCAGCCGCCGCGGUAACACCAGCGCCACGAGUGGCAACCACGUUUAUUGGGCCUAAAGCGUCCGUAGCCGGUUAGGUAAAUCUCUUGUGAAAUCGUCAUGCUUAACCUGACGGCGUGCUCGAGACACUGCCUAACUUGAGACCGGGAGGAGUCAGAGGUAUUCCUGAGGGAGCGGUAAAAUGUGAUAAUCUCAGGAGGAUCACCUAUGGCGAAGGCAUCUGACCAGAACGGAUCUGACGGUGAGGGACGAAGGCUAGGGGAGCGAUCCGGAUUAGAUACCCGAGUAGUCCUAGCAGUAAACGCUGCGAGCAAGAUGUUGCGCUUCUCACGAGGAUGCGCAGUGUCGAAGAGAAGUCAUUAAGCUCGCCGCCUGGGAAGUACGGUCGCAAGACUGAAACUUUAAGGAAUUGG